UCUGACGACCAUAGCGUCCUGGAACCACUCCUUCCCAUCCCGAACAGGACAGUGAAACAGGUCCGCGCCGAUGAUAGUGCUCUUCGUGAGUGCGAAAGUAGGUCAUCGUCAGAC
rnacentral:rRNA from 1 species